CUGCUUUUAUUUACUUCUAGCUCUCUAUACCCAAACUAUUCCUUGCUAUGUCAUUUUAAUACAGACAGGAGGCAGGAAAAUACUGGAUAGAGGGUGAUUCCCCAGCAAAGGCCCCACCCUUAAAUCUGGUGACCUGCAGCCCUAAAAAGGAACAGGCAUUCCUAUUUUUGAACCCAAAUGUCUUUUCCAAGACCAGUCUGGCCUGCCAUGCUCCAAACCUGUGCCCAUGUAAACCUCAAGCUCCAGGGGCAGAGUGGCAGAGUGGUGCAGCAGAGAAGAGAGAAGAGGAGUGUUUGAACAUUGAGAGAAGUUCAGCUGGGGAUGGUUGGAGAGGAGAUUGACUGGGGGACGGCUGAAUUCAAGGGGAAGAUCAGAUCAUCUCCCUACUCCAUCCCAUUUCAGCUCCCCAUUAAUCCCACUGAAAGCCACCUCUAUCACUCAAUUAAAAUCCCUGCAUUUAGCAUCCUUCAAGUCUGUGUGACCUGAUUUUCCCUGGAUGCUGGACAAGGACCCAGGCACCAAGAGGGCAGGUUGUAAAAGCCUAUCACUCUGACUCUCAACUGAGCUGGUUAAUAUUUAGCCAUCCAAGAAUGGCAAAGCUAAAAGAGCAUUGUAACACCCCUGGACACUGCAGUGGGGCUGGAGGCAUAAAGAACUCACCCCAGCUCACCUGUGUGCUCCCCAUCCUAUAAGGGGUUUGAGGGUGUGGCAGCUGAGUAAACAAGCAAUUCCCUUCAUGAAGAGUCUCCUGAAGGGGCCAAGGGAAUUUUCCCAUUUUGUCUGUGUUCUCGCUGAGGAUCCAACACAUGGUGAACAAAAUAGGACAAACAAGCAUUCUGGAAACGUUAACAGAUCAUACCUUCGUCUGAAAGCAUUUAGGGCUCAAGAGAAAUCAUUACCGCUUUAGCACCUGGAGAGCUACAGCUCAGGUGUUCAACAGAAGAGAUGCACACAGGCAUCUAUGUUGUCAGCAGCCAGUACUAUCAAAGCAUCUGGAGACAACAAUAGAAGACAAGGAUAGCACGUCUAGUACAGCCCCCAGGUAAGCAGGCCUUUCCGGGAAGUCUUCAUUACAGUUCAAGUAUUCCAGGAAUCUCAUCACAGAGAUCUUCAAUGUGAUCAGAUCACCCUAUCUCACUUAGCUCUCACACUAACCACUUUAUCUAUUAUUUGCUUUGUUCUUCUCAUUAUAGUUUUCAUUGUCAGAAAUCA
rnacentral:lncRNA from 1 species